ACUCCCCUCGGCCUCACCACUUGCUCCUGUGGAAGAGACUCAGUUCGCUCGCCGCUGGUAGGAUCAAAGGUCGUGCCGCACGGCAGCUACGCCAAGCUGGGCGGCGCACCUGCGAGGUGCGAGCCGCAAGACGACGCUAUGGGCCGAGCGCGGUGGCAAGGCCGAGCUGCGCAGCGCUGCCAACCCCCAUCAAGUUCAGCGCUGAUUCAGCAUCAUCGAGUCCCCUGUGUUUGAUGGCCACGGCAAAGAACAAGGAUCAUAUCUAAAGAAGCAACACCUGUGGUUCUCGGCAAGGAUAUAUGAAUUGAGGUAAGCGCUGCCUGGAAAUUCCUAAAUAAUGCUCAUGUAUCUACAUGUUACAGAUUAUUGCCUUGCUUUCAGCAGGUUUAUUUAGUGCAAAAUUUGAAUGCAAUAUUAAUUUUAUUCUUCUGAGAGCGACCUACACCACUAUACAUUGUAUAUAUAUCAUUUGCCUUUAUUUAAAUUGCUCAUGGCCUGCCGAAGAAUGAACAUAAUAGUUUAGUUUGUUAUCUUUGUAUAGGCCUAUUUCAUGACGCUAAUUAACUAAUCUUUAGUGCUGAUUGCCUCUUAUUAGCUACCACAUAUGUCACCAUGUCAGUUUACCUCUUCUUUUUAUUUGCAUCUGCGCAAUUGCAUUUUAGUAGUCAAGUUGUUUUUGUUCCUUCUUCAGCUUUACAAACAAAACUGGUAUAAAACAAACUCAUCAGCGUGGCUUUUGAUUUUUGCUAUUGUUUCUGCCCUUUGAUCCUGCAAUGCAAGAACUAUCAGGCUAUCUCUAUGGACUUGCAGUUAUCAAACAGGUACAACUAUGUUGCCUUUUCAGCUUUAGAGACAAAAUUAGUAUGAAGUAACCUCGGUGUACAUUUUUAUUCUUACUUUUGUUUCUACAUCUGUCCCUGCACUAAGAGAACCCUAUAUGGACUUGCAGUAACAAUAUUAUGGAUUACUUUUUGCUGCAGUACAAAUUUUUGUUCACUGACAACCUAAAGCACUUGACAGUCAUGACAUUGGCCAGUUCUAGCGGCCUUUUCUGUGGGUUCAGACUAAAUUGGUAAAUUCAAAGUCCAUUUUGCAAAUUGAUGUGUUUUAGCAUAGGUAUAUAGAAUCCUUUUUCUCAUUCUAUGAUACCAGAUUUGAAUGUCUACUGUGUUGCAUACUGUAGGUGAUGUCUUGUAAGAAAUCGGUGCUCGUAGCCUAAGAGGGGGAGGGGGUGAAUGAGGCAAAUUAAAACCUUAACUUAUGGCUUUCACUACUUUUGCAUCAAACUUAAUGCUAUCAAGAUAUGUAACUAUGGUUGAUCUAGUGUGAAACCCUCGUCCAAAAUAAUUUUUGCAACC